CAAUAGCGUAUAUUAAAGUUGUUGCGGUUAAAAAGCUCGUAGUUGGAUUUCUGCUUUGUGCGACCGGUCCAUCCUUUUGGUUGGCAUCUGGAUCGCUCAGGGCAUUUUCCUGGGAGACAUGGCUGCACCUCGUUGUGUGGCCUGUUACCUGGGUCUUUUACUUUGAGGAAAUUAGAGUGUUUCACGCAGGCGCUUGCCUUGAAUACAUUAGCAUGGAAUAAUACGAUAUGACUUUGGUUCUGUCUUGUUGGUUUCUGGAGCCAAGGUAAUGAUUAAUAGGGAUAGUCGGGGGCAUUCGUACUUAACUGUCAGAGGUGAAAUUCUUGGAUUUGUUAAAGACGAACUAAUGCGAAAGCAUUUGCCAAGGAUGUUUUCAUUGA
rnacentral:rRNA from 1 species